rnacentral:rRNA from 1 species
GACGAACGCUGGCGGCGGGCUUAACACAUGCAAGUCGAACGGAAAGGCCCUGCUUUUGUGGUGUGCCCGAUUGGCGAACGGGUGAGUAACACGAGUGUAACCUGACCUUGUCUUUCGGAUAACUUCAGGAAACUGGGGCUACUACCGGACCGCAGCUCCUGCUGCAUGGUGGGGGGUGGAAAUUUUCUGCGGGUGGGGCUGGACUCGCGGCUUAUCAGCUUGUUGGUGGGGUAGUGGCUUACCAAGGCUUUGACGGGUCCCCGGCAGGGGAGGGUGACCGGCGACAUUGGGACUGAGAGACGGCGCAGACUCCAACGGGAGGCAGCAGUGGGAAAUAUUGCACAGUGGGCGGAAGCCUGAGACAGCGACGCCGCGUGUGGGAUGACGGCCUUCGGGUUAUGAACCGCUUUCGCCUGUGACGAAGCGUGAGUGACGGUAAUGAGUAAAGAAGCACCGGCUAACUACGUG